rnacentral:rRNA from 1 species
CCCUUAGAUGUCCUGGGCUGCACGCGCGCUACACUGAUGUGUCCAGUAAGCACCUAACCUAUUCCGAGAGGAGCGGGUAACCUUAGCAAAGCACAUCGUGAUGGGGAUAGAUUAUUGCAAUUAUUAGUCUUGAACGAGGAAUUCCUAGUAAGCACAAGUCAUCAGCUUGUGUUGAUUACGUCCCUGCCCUUUGUACACACCGCCCGUCGCUCCUACCGAUUGAAUGUUCCGGUGAGCUCUUCGGACUGCGCGGUCUGCAGUUUCUGCGUUCCGUGCGGAAAGUUGUGCAAACCUUAACAUUUAGAGGUAGGAGAAGUCGUAACA